CGCGUGGUUCUAUUUUGUUGGUUUUUAGAACCGCCGUAAUGAUUAAUAGGGACAGUCGGGGGCAUCUGUAUUCACUUGUCAGAGGUGAAAUUCUUGGAUCUAUUGAAGACAAACUACUGCGAAAGCAUUUGCCAAGGAUGUUUUCAUUGAUAAGGAACGAAAGUUAGGGGAUCGAAGACGAUCAGAUACCGUCGUAGUCUUAACUAUAAACUAUGCCGACUAGGGAUCGGACGAUGUUAUUUUUUGGCUCGUUCGGCACCUUUCGAGAAAUCAAAGUGCUUGGGCUCCAGGGGGAGUAUGGUCGCAAGGCUGAAACUUAAAGAAAUUGACGGAAGGGCACCACCAGGGGUGGAACCUGCGGCUUAAUUUGACUCAACACGGGGAAACUCACCAGGUCCAGACACAGUGAGGAUUGACAGAUUGAUAGCUCUUUCUUGAUUCUGUGGGUGGUGGUGCAUGGCCGUUCUUAGUUGGUGGAGUGAUUUGUCUGUCUAAUUGCGAUAACGAACGAGACCUUAACCUGCUAAAUAGCCCGUUCUGCUCCGGCAGUACGCUGGCUUCUUAGAGGGACUAUCGGCUCAAGCCGAUGGAAGUUUGAGGCAAUAACAGGUCUGUGAUGCCCUUAGAUGUCCUGGGCCGCACGCGCGUUACACUGACAAAGCCAGCGAGUAUUUCCUUAGCCGGAAGGCUUGGGUAAUCUUGUUAAACUUUGUCGUGC
rnacentral:rRNA from 1 species